rnacentral:rRNA from 1 species
CCUACGGGUGGCAGCAGUGAGGAAUAUUGGUCAAUGGACGAGAGUCUGAACCAGCCAAGUAGCGUGAAGGAUGACUGCCCUAUGGGUUGUAAACUUCUUUUAUAUGGGAAUAAAACGUUCCACGUGUGGGAUUUUGUAUGUACCAUAUGAAUAAGGAUCGGCUAACUCCGUGCCAGCAGCCGCGGUAAUACGGAGGAUCCGAGCGUUAUCCGGAUUUAUUGGGUUUAAAGGGAGCGUAGGUGGAUUGUUAAGUCAGUUGUGAAAGUUUGCGGCUCAACCGUAAAAUUGCAGUUGAAACUGGCAGUCUGGAGUACAGUAGAGGUGGGCGGAAUUCGGGGUGUAGCGGUGAAAUGCUUAGAUAUCACGCAGAACCCCGAUUGCGAAGGCAGCGUACCGGCUCCACACUGACGCUGAGGCACGAAAGCGUGGGUAUCGAACAGGAUUAGAUACCCGUGUAGUC